rnacentral:lncRNA from 1 species
GCAAACUGGCCAUGUAAUUGGCCUAGACCUUGGUUGCAGCAUGCUUAUUGAUGUAACCAUAUUAUUCGAUAGUUUCACUCGCAUUUAACUAGUGUUUUGCAUAUGUUAUUUAUAUAAAAUGCCUUGAUAUUCUUUGUUUUAUGUUUUGAAGGCAUUUUUGGAUGAAAGAUGCAAAAAGGAGUAAAUUGGAGGUAAUUGGCAGAUUUGACGUUCAGUCGGUAUUUUGUGCAGAGCGUGAGUUCCAGAGAUCGAAAUGAAGUGAUUCCAGUGGCAUUAAAAAGCUAACAUCCAUACCUUUCUGGAAAUGUAAUGCAAGAAAAAUAAAAAGAGAAAGAUCAUGGAAAUCACAUCCUUCAAAGUCAAAUCUCGCAAUCUGCCAAUGUUGACCUUUGCCCAUUCAAAAUUCAAUAUCUGGAGCUUCAGUCUGCCAAUUUUGUUAGAUUCCUUACUCAAAGCUCUAUAAACGCUCCAAAUAUCAGCAAAAAACGAUGUCAUAUGAGGGAGAUAGGAUUUUUCAAAGAUGACAGCUGAAUUCUGUCAGCAAGCAGGUUGCGUGAAGAAACGAAUCCAAAUUCCAUUCAGAAGCAUCCAAACCGACAUACAAGUGUUUCCAGCAAUUUAGCUCCUUUAGUAAAUAUUCUAGAAGGUCAAGGAAGACAGCCACCAACCUCAAGACAGCAGCCAGCCACCAGCCGCCUUCACACUACCACCAUCUAUUGAACCAACCUCAACAAGGCAAUCAAGGCCGACAGUUCCAUGGAUUUAAGCCCCAACAGAAUUAUCAAGCAAGACAACCCACUCCAUUCACAAACUCUAAUGAUAUGGGGUCGUCAUCCAAUGAUGAUCUUCGUGAGAUGAUGAAAACUUUGGCUUCUAAUAUUGUUACCUUGCAACAAAAUGUCAUGUCUUUUCAACAGGAAACAAGGUCAAGUAUUCACAACUUGGAAAAGCAAAUGGGGCAGUAGCUUCAAGUGUAGGGAAAUUGGAAGCACAAAUGAAUGGAAAAUUGUCAUCCCAAGCAUAGAAUCAAUAGAAAUGUUAGUGCGAUCAUGCUGCGAAGUGGGAAAGAACUUGAAGAGAAAAGGUCGAAACAAAUUGAGAUGGAAAGAAGAGAGAUAGAAACGAAUUGAGUCUAAAGAAGAUACAUCAUCCUUCUCCACAAACUGAAACAAAGACCAACACUCCAAAGGUAAAUCCUCAUCAAUAAUUCAGUUUUAAAACAAUUCCACCCUUUCCGUGAGUUCUUCUAGGUCAAAGAAAGAGGACAAAGAAAAAGAGAUUUAGAGGUUUUCAAGAAAGUGGAACUGAACAUUCCUUUGCUUGAUGCUAUCAAGCAAAUUCCCAAGUAUGCCAAAUUCUUGAAGGAGUUGUGUACUACCAAGAGAGCUUUCAAACUGAAAGGUCAUGAAACGGUAAGUAUGGGUGAAGUUGUAUCUGCUGUUGUUCAAAAGAAUCUGCCUUUGAACAAAAAGACCCAGGUGCGUUUACUAUCCCAUGUGUUAUUGGUAAUGCUAGUUUUAAAAGUGCUUUAUGCGAUUUAGGUGCAUCCAUUAGUGUUAUGCCUAAACAUGUUUAUGAUUCUCUUAGUCUGAGCCUUUGAAAACUAGUAUUGUAAUACAACUUGCGGAUCGUAGUUUUGUUUACCCACUUGGUGUGAUAGAAGAUGUCCUAGUCAAGAUUGAUAGUUUGGUUAUUCCAUGUGACUUUUAUAUUCUUGAUAUGGAACAUGAUUCUUGUGAUUCAUCAACCAGCACUCCUAUAUUGUUUGGGAGACCAUUCUUGAAAACUGCCAACACAAAGAUUGAUUGUGGUAAGGAUACCUUGUCUAUGGAGGUAGGAGAUGAAAAAAUUGAAUUUAAUUUUCAUGAUGCAAUGACAUAUAGCCUAUCACAUGUUAUGACCAAGUUGAUAAGUGUGUGCAGCAAGUUUGUGAUUUUGAUAAUGAGUAUGGAUUAAGCAUGGCUUUGAGCAAUGACUAUGAUUUUACCAAGAUAGAAGAGAUGGAAAGGCAUAUAUGUGUUCCCCAAAACAUGCAUGAAUCAACAUUGGAUUUGCAAGCUUUGCAAAUUGUCCUUCAUGAUGCAGGAGUCAUUUACCCAUCACGGAUAGUGAAUGGGUGGCGCCUAUCCUUUUGGUGCCCAAAAAGAUUGGAAUUACGGUGGAAGAGAUUCAAAAUGAUGCUUACGAGAAUGCAAGGAUUUACAAAGAAAAGACUAAGAAUCUUCAUGACCGAAUGCUUACAAGAAAGGAGUUUCAUGUUGGAGACAAAGUCCUUCUUUAUCAUUCGCGUUUGAAACUUUUUCCUGGAAAGUUACUCUCGUUGGAUUGGACCCUUUGUUGUUUCUAAUAUUUUUCCUUAUGGUGCAGUUGAAAUUACAAGUUUAGAAACUAACAACAUACUCAAAGUCAAUGGGCAUCGUUUGAAACCUUUCUAUGAAGGUUGGACGACAGAAAUCACCGCUUCUGCAAAGUUAGCUGAACCAAUCUAUGAAGAAUGAGCAUGCAACAUGUCGAGCCAAUGACAUAAAACAAAAGCGCUUAUUGGGAGGCAACCCAGCACAAAAAGAAAAAAAAUCAGAUUUGCUUUCUUUUUCCUUAUCUUUUUUUUUUCUUCGCAUUUCAGUUUAUUUUUUUUGUCAUUCUCUUAUGUACCUUUGCUUUUAUUUCAACAUUGAGGACAAUGUUUUGUUUUAAGUGUGGGGGUAUUGAGAGAAUUUUGGUUUUCUUAUUUUAGUUUUCUUUGUUGUUCUUAAAAAAAAAAAAAUGUGUUUGAUCUUUUUAACUCCCAUUGGUUUUUGAGAAUAUUAGUAUUAUAUAUGAGAAUUAAUUGAGAUAGAUGAAAAUAUAAAUCAAAUGAAGGAGUAUGCAUGCAAAUUUUAAGGUUUAAUUGGUUUAUGGAUUGACUUUGAGAAUAUGCCAUGUUAACUUUAUAGUGUUAUACCAAUGCAAGCUUUUGAGCCUUCAAGAUUAUAUUCUUUGAUUGUGCAUUUUUUCAAUGAUAUGUAUCUCUAGAACUUGUUUCAUAUCUUAUUGAGAUUAUAUCCCAUUACAAAUAUACAUGAAGAUGAUAAAGGCAUUAGGAAUUUUAACCCCUCAAGCCAAAAAGCCAACCUAAAGCAUAUUAUCCUUAGUGAGCCCGUUUUGAGCUUGUUUAUCUUUUCUUUGCUUUAUCCAUGUAUAAGCCUUAACUUUAUAUAUGUUUUUCUUUUCCCCUGGCCAAGGAUUAGUAGAGCAUAUACUUGUAAUAUCUCAUGGAAUUAUGGUUGGAAAUUAUAUGAAAAGAAAGAAGUGAUGCUUGAUGAAAAGAUGGGCAAAGUUGCCGAAAAAAAAAAAAAAAAAAAAAAAAGUAUUCCUUUAUGUUCUUAAGGUUUUAUGUUGAAAGAGCUUGAAAUCAAAAGGAGUUAAGCAUUUGUGAUUAAAGAUGAAAAAUUUAUGAGCUUUGAUGGAAUAUCUUGUUUGAAGUAUCAUUUUUCAAAAUGCUCUACUUUCUUUGGUUUGAACCUUUCCUUUUACUUUCUUUUACCUCACCUUAACCUCAGCCCCAUUACAACCGGAAAAUAAGACCUUUUGAUUCAUGUAGUACUUGUAAUAAGUUGCUAAUGGAGAUGAGAUUGAAAAGCAAGCUUAUGGUAGAACAUACUCUUUGAUUGAAUUUGAGAGAUUUAAACACAUAAACCCUAAACACAUGAGUGUUGGAGUGUAUAUCAAUGAGAGGACCUAUCACUUUGGCAUGGCAUAGAUUUCAUUUAAAUCCAGACGAUUGAUUGAGUUUUGAAGUUUGCAUGUAAAUAAAUUCAUGAGAAUUAUAUUAUUUAUCCUUCAUGAUUGUAUUCUUGUUUAUAAUGCUUGUACUCUUAGACAUUGAUGGGAGAUUAAGAAAUUGAUCAUAGUUAUUUUCAAUUUAAUUUUAUUUAUCCUUUCUCGAGGACGAGCAAGAGCUAAGUAUGGGGUAUUUGAUGUAACCAUAUUAUUCAAUAGUUUCACCCGCAUUUAACUAGUGUUUUGCAUAUGUUAUUUCUAUAAAAUGCCUUGAUAUUCUUUGUUUUAUGUUUUGAAGGCAUUUUUGGAUGAAAGAUGCAAAAAGGAGUAAAUUGGAGGUAAUUGGCAGAUUUGACGUUCAGUCGGUAUUUUGUGCAGAGCGUGAGUUCCAGAGAUCGAAAUGAAGUGAUUCCAGUGGCAUUAAAAGCUAACAUCCAUACCUUUUUGGAAAUGUAAUGCAAGAAAAAUAAAAAGAGAAAGAUCAUGGAAAUCACAUCCUUCAAAGUCAAAUCUCGCAGUCUGCCAAUGUUGACCUUUGCCCAUUCAAAAUUCAAUAUCUGGAGCUUCAGAAGUCCAAUUGAUGCAAACUCAAUUUUGUUGGAUUCCUUACUCAAAGAUCUAUAAACGCUCCAAAUUUCAGCCAAAAACGAUGUCAUAUGAGGGGAUAUGAUUUUUCAAAGAUGACAGCUGAAUUCUGCCAGCAAGCAUCCAAACCGACAUCCAAGUGCCAGCAAUUUAGCUCCUCUAGUAAAUAUUCUAGAAGGUCAAGGAAGGCAGCCACCAACCUCAAGGCAGCCACCAACCUCAAGACAGCAGCCAGCAGCCAGCAGCCAGCCACCAGCCGCCAGCCGCCAGCCGCCUUCACACUACCACCAUCUAUUGAUGUUCACACUUGAACUUUGAUUUUCUUACUUACAAUUUGUGUAUAAAUAGAGAGAGUGGAAGGAGGUGGAAGAAGAAGGAAGAAACACAAACUCUCCUCUCUACAAAUCAGAAAUUAUGUAUUCUUUCAUCUUUAGGAGUAGUUGUUCAAUAGAUAUGCAAGGCUAAGCUCGUUUUCUUGGUUGCAAGGACACACAAACCUUCGGAUUUCAAGAACCGUGAGAUUUAUUCUUCCUUUUAUUUUCAGUUUAUGUUAUGAAUGACUAUGAUUGUUUUUCCUAUGCAUAUUUCUAUGAUUGUUUAUCUUAAUUGCUAGAGCGGACUCUAAGUUAUUAUUAUGAACAAUCUAUUGCUAAGUUUGAUAUCAAAACCGGAGUUGUGGUAUAUAAACUUGUGAAGCAACUAAGCUUGAUAAUUGUAGCGGAACUACGUUAUUAAACUUAGGGAGAACAUUCGAUCAUAGCAACACAAAUUGACAACUUGGUUGUUAAGAUUAAUGAAUUUAUCUGGAUCUUAAGGCUGCCAUUGGAUUAAAUCAUUAGUGCGGACACUGUGAUUGUUUGUUGGAUAGGGCUAGUUAUACGGCGGAUCCGUUAAUUAACCAAUAUUAAGAAAAGUUAAAAUUCAUAAUAUAAACUGGAGUUUCGUUUCAAGGAUCGGUUCUAAUUUCCGUUGGUGGAUGUGUGCUUGCAACCAAGGUUUGUUUUCUUGAUAUAUUUCAGUUUCAAUUGAUUUUGUUUGCUAGUUUAAUUUCUGCCAUAGUUUAAAUCAUUGCAAAUCAAACCCCCCCAUUGCAUAACGUAUAGCAUAAAAAUCUAAUUAAACUUCCUCGUGGGAUCGACCCCUUGCUUGCUCUAUACUAUCUUGUGUGUUUUAAGCUAGGGUAAUUAAUUUGUGCGACCGCGACAUCGCAACACUUAUGGCACCCUCCAUUCUAACAGCACUCUCUUCUCCCUUCAACAUCUUCAGAAGCUCGAUCUCUCUUCCAAUGACUUCAAUCGCUCUGUCAUUUCAUCUUCCUUUGGUCAAUUCUUGCAUUUGACGCAUUUAAAUCUAACUUCAUCGAAUUUUGCAGGCCAAGUUCCCCC